rnacentral:tRNA from 1 species
CAGAGAAUAGUUUAUAAGAAUUUUAAUUUUGGGAAUUAAAGGUAAGGAAGUAUUCCUUUUCUCUGA